GGUCUACACCCAGAAACUGCACCAUCUACUCAAGACACUCCCUACACUAACACAGGAACAAAUCAACAUACCCUUAGAGCCUCGACCGGGGUUAUUCUAUCUACUACGUAAGAUCCACAAACCUGGAAAUCCUGGACGCCCCAUCAUCUCGGGCAUUGGCACUCUCACUGAAGGACUGUCUGGAUACGUGGACUCCGUACUCAGACCCUACGCCACCAGCACUCCCAGCUAUCUCCGUGACACCACAGAUUUCCGGAGAAAACUACAAUGCAUUGGUGGCCUCCCAGAAAACACCAUCCUAGCCACCAUGGAUGUAGAGGCUCUCUACACAAACAUCCCACAUACAGAUGGAAUACAAGCUGUCAGGAACAGUAUCCUUGAUGAUGACACAGCACAACUUAUUGCUGAGCUCUGUGACUUUAUCCUCACGCACAAUUAUUUCAAAUUUGGUGACAAUAUAUACCUCCAGACCAGUGGCACCGCUAUGGGCACCCGCAUGGCCCCACAAUAUGCCAACAUUUUUAUGGCUGACCUGGAACAACGCUUCCUCAGCUCUUGUCCACUCAUGCCCCUUCUCUACCUACGCUAUAUUGAUGACAUCUUCAUCAUCUGGACCCAUGGGAAGGAGACCCUGGAAGAAUUCUACCAUGAUUUCAACAGCUUCCACCCCACCAUCAACCUCAGCCUGGACCAAUCUACACGGGAGGUCCACUUCCUAGACACCACCGUACAAAUAAGCGAUGGCCACAUUAACACCACCCUAUACCGAAAACCCAUCGACCGCCACGCCUAUCUUCAUGCCUCCAGCUUCCACCCCGGUCACACCACACGAUCCAUCGUCUACAGCCAAGCACUGAGGUACAAUCGCAUCUGCUCCAACCCCUCAGACAGAGACCAACACCUACAAGAUCUUCACCAAGCAUUCUCAAAACUACGAUACCCACACAAGGAAAUAAAGAAACAAAUCAACAGAGCCAGACGUGUACCCAGAAGCCUCCUGCUACAAGACAGGCCCAGAAGAGAAACCAACAGAACUCCACUGGCCAUCACCUACAGUCCUCAGCUUAAACCUCUCCAACGCAUCAUCAGUGAUCUGCAACCCAUCCUGGACAAUGAUCCCUCACUUUCA
rnacentral:lncRNA from 1 species